rnacentral:rRNA from 1 species
CAACGUAAAGAACCUACCUUAUAGACAGGGACAACUAUUGGAAACGAUAGCUAAUACCUGAUAAGAAAGAAACUCGCAUGAGAGAAGUUCGAAAGUCGGAGCAAUCUGACACUAUAAGAUGGCUUUGCGGUGCAUUAGCUAGUUGGUAGGGUAAAAGGCCUACCAAGGCGACGAUGCAUAGCCGACCUGAGAGGGUGAUCGGCCACAUUGGGACUGAGACACGGCCCAGACUCCUACGGGAGGCAGCAGGC